GCUUAACGCGAAGAACCUUACCACCUUUUGACAUGCCUGGACCGCCACAGAGAUGUGGCUUUCCCUUCGGGGACGUAGGACACAGGUGCUGCAUGGCUGUCGUCAGCUCGUGUCGUGGGAUGUUGGGUUAAGUCCCGCAACGAGCGCAACCCUCGCCAUUAGUUGUCCAUCAUUCAGUUGGGUCGACUCUAAUGGGACGUGCCGGUGCUAAGCCGGAGGAAGGUGGGGAUGACGUCAAGUCCUCAUGGCCCUUACAGGGUGGGCUACACACGUGCUACAAUGGCGACUACAGAGGGCUGCAGCCCAGCGAUGGUGAGCCAAUCCCUAAAAGUCGUCUCAGUUCAGAUUGUUCUCUGCAACUCGAGAGCAUGAAGUCGGAAUCGCUAGUAAUCGUGGAUCAGCAUGCCACGGUGAAUACGUUCCCGGGUCUUGAC
rnacentral:rRNA from 1 species